rnacentral:lncRNA from 1 species
GCCUCACAGCAUAUGCUACUUCUAGUUGAGCAUCUUUUCAGAUUGAGCACCGCCUCAUAUCGAACAUCAGUUCAAGAUAACAUCUAGUUACUUCGGCCCACACAUGGACUGAAUUUCAAGUCUCCAGCCAAAAUACUCUCUUGACUGAAGACUUGGGGGGCUACUGUUUAUACCAUAUUUAGGGCCUCAUAUUUAGAUCUUGUACGAAUACUCGAGGGACUUAAAUGUAAUGAUAUGAUAAAAGAAAGGGCAAAUAUGUAAUAAGUGAGGGGUUAUUAUUCUAUAAAAGGACCCCUCACCAUCACAAUUAGGGGGGUCUUAUUCUCAUCCUGAGAGGUCAUCCGAGACCUCACUCUCUCCCUCAGAGGCCCUGAAUCUCUCUCCCUCACUCCUCUCACAUCUCAGAUAAAUACAUAAUCAGUGUGGACGUUGCCCAAACUUUGGGGUGAACCACGAUCCAUCUUGUGAUAUUUACUUUCAUGCAGAUUCACGGUCGGAUUUACGUUGUUCUAAGACCAUCUGGUUUUGUGCAUCAACAAAUGUUUUGCGUUUACGGCGG